rnacentral:rRNA from 1 species
GACGAACGCUGGCGGCGUGCUUAACACAUGCAAGUCGAACGAGAAAGCCCUUCGGGGUAAGUACAGUGGCGAACGGGUGAGUAACACGUGGGCAACCUGCCCCGGAGAGCGGGACAACCCGAGGAAACUCGGGCUAAUACCGCAUGAUGCGUCUCCACUUAAGUGGAGCCGCCAACUGGUAGCUUCGGCCUCCGCUCUGGGAUGGGCCCGCGCCGGAUUAGCUAGUUGGUUGGGGUAAUGGCCCACCAAGGCGACGAUCCGUAGCUGGUCUGAGAGGACGAUCAGCCACACUGGGACUGAGACACGGCCCAGACUCCUACGGGAGGCAGCAGUGGGGAAUCUUGCGCAAUGGGCGAAAGCCUGACGCAGCAACGCCGCGUGAGGGAAGAAGGCCUUCGGGUUGUAAACCUCUUUCAGUAGGGACGAAGCUUCCGGGGUUAAUAGCCCACGGGGUGACGGUACCUACAGAAGAAGCCCCGGCUAACUACGUGCCAGCAGCCGCAGUAA